rnacentral:rRNA from 1 species
CGGGAUGAGUAAUGUCUGGGAAACUGCCUGAUGGAGGGGGAGUAACUACUGGAAACGGUAGCUAAUACCGCAUAACGUCGCAAGACCAAAGAGGGGGACCUUCGGGCCUCUUGCCAUCAGAUGUGCCCAGAUGGGAUUAGCUAGUAGGUGGGGUAACGGCUCACCUAGGCGACGAUCCCUAGCUGGUCUGAGAGGAUGACCAGCCACACUGGAACUGAGACACGGUCCAGACUCCUACGGGAGGCAGCAUG